UGGGGAAUUUUGGACAAUGGGGGAAACCCUGACCCAGCAAUGCCGCGUGAGUGAUGAAGGCCUUCGGGUUGUAAAGCUCUUUCGGAGGGAAAGAAAGGGCCUGGGGUAAUACCCCGCUUUCCUGACCGUACCCCUCAAAGGAGCCCCGGCUAACUCCCGGGCCCGCGCCCCGAUAAUUAA
rnacentral:rRNA from 1 species